CUACGGGACGCACCAGUGAGGAAUUUUGCGCAAUGGGGGAAACCCUGACGCAGCAACGCCGCGUGAGCGAAGAAGGCCUUCGGGUCGUAAAGCUCUGUCAAGUGGGAAAAAAAUUCUUUGAUGAACAGUCAAAGGACUUGAUGGUACCACAGGAGGAAGCACCGGCUAACUCCGUGCCAGCAGCCGCGGUAAUACGGAGGGUGCAAGCGUUGUUCGGAAUUACUGGGCGUAAAGAGCGUGUAGGCGGUUUGACAAGUCAGAUGUGAAAGCCCCGGGCUCAACCCGGGAAGUGCAUUUGAACUGUUUCACUAGAGUAUGGGAGAGGAGAUUGGAAUUCCUGGUGUAGAGGUGAAAUUCGUAGAUAUCAGGAGGAACACCCGUGGCGAAGGCGAUUCUCUGGACCAAUACUGACGCUGAGACGCGAAAGCGUGGGGAGCAAACAGGAUUAGAUACCCUCGUAGUC
rnacentral:rRNA from 1 species